ACAGCUCUCACCUUCAUUCUGAUCUGUUGUGCUGCUGUUGGAUGUUUGAUGAUUGUCGCUUCAGUUUUGAUCUUCUGGAUCUACAGGAAACACACAAACACAAAUCAAAAGGUUCCUAAAACUGUUAAAAACAGAUGGAUGGAAUUUACCGAAAUCACUUACAAGAUCACACAUUCUGUAAAAGAGCAGCAGAUAAACUGUACUUGGUGAUGUCCUAACAGAACAGUCACUUAAAAUAAGUCCCAAAGACAUCAAGAUUUGGAAUAUGAAUCUCAACAAUGGUGACAAUAACAAGAGAAAGCGUCAUGCUGAAAUCCAUGAAUGUGUUUAAUACUAUGUUAUACCACUGCGCCGUGUUGAUUAUUUUUCUGUAAACCGCACACCUAACUUAUCAAAUGUCUUAUAAUAAUCACCAGAGCAAUGUUUGUGGUAACCUUGGUAUAAGCAGAAUAACGGACUCUGGUCCUUUGAAUUAUUAAAAAAAAAAAUGCACACCCGCUUUGCGUCGUGUCGCAUUACCACCUUGGGUGUGCAUUAUUUUCAAAUAAUUCAAAGGACUGGAGUCAAUUAUUCCUUACAUACCCAGCAUGCAUUGCAGCAUGAAUUUUUCUUUUGUUUAAAAUGAUGUUUUAAAUGAGAUUUCUUUUGUUUAAAAUUAUAUUUUAAAUUAAUUUUUCUUUUGUUUUAAAUGAUGUUAAUAGAUGGUCGUUUAAAGAAAGACACAACUGUACAUUAUCAGAAACAACUAAAGUAUUUGAUAUAUACAUAUACUAUGUCUAUUUUUUAUUUUUCUCACUGAAUGCAUCUGACACAUUAACAGGUUCAUUCGGGUUCAUGUGAAAAAAUGUGGUUUUGUUGUACUGGGGGACAUGAGAUGUGUGUUUGUGGUUAAUGUGCAUAUGUGUGUGUUUGUGAGAGGUGUGAACAGUGUGUGUCUUUUUUGAUCUCAUGCACAUUUAUCUAUGCUAAUGUUAAACAAAUAAAAGAUUGCU